GUUUUUCUUUCUUGUUGCUUUUGCUUUUUGCUUCUCCUCCUCCUUUGAACAAGGUCUUGGUACUGAUUAAAGUUAUGAUAGAAUAUCAGAACCAGCUGUUUCCAUUGCUGGUUCAGAGUCUAUGAAGAGUGAUAUGCUGUCUGCCAUUGAGAGCAUUUGCUUGGGUUGUCUGAAGAGGUUGCAGAAUCCUUCAGUAUAUUCUUGCUUUGUGAAUGAUGGACAGACACACUGUCACAUCUGCCAUAUAUCAAAUAGAAGUUGUGCUGCUAUGUCUGAGCAUUUUCACAAAACUGGUCAAUCUUUGAUUGAUGAAUUUCACAAGAUGCUGCUCUCUGAUGAAGUUCUGAAUGA
rnacentral:sRNA from 1 species